GGCUAGCCCAAAAGUAGUGAGUUAAUUGGUUGCAGUUAGUCACAGACUGAACUUGUCAUACCCUCUCUUAGUGCUGUACUUGACUAGUCAAAC
ensembl:Y_RNA Y_RNA Y RNA